GGUGUAGGGCGCGUGCACCGGCGUGCGCACCCCCUCCCUCCGGCGCGUGGAAAUGGAGGCACAGAGGGCGCGCCCCGCGUUGUGCUGGCGUCCGUCACCGUCAAGUCCGGGGAUGGAAAUAGCGAAGAGGAGGAGCUUUGAACCCCUCGCCCGGCUGGCCGGGUAGUGCAGCUGUCACCGGGCCCGCCUUAGCGCCGAGCCUAAACCCGAGGCUCCUUCCGAACGGUGCCACAGCCUGCGCCCCCCUCUCCGGACGUGGAGAGGCCAGGAGGGUACCCGCCAGGCCGCCCCGACAGCCGCGCUACCGCUCCGAGCCUCGCGGGGUCACGGCGCCCCACUGAGGGGUUUGGAGAUGGAAGCGCCCAAGCUGUGCUCUUUGCCCACUCGGCGCCCACCGUGGCCUCGAACAGACCCUUCGGUCUCUAAGGCACCCACCAGCUCAGGGAGCUCCAAAGAGGGGGCCAGGCCAGCUCCACCCCUUCCCGAGGAGGGUUUGAGACUGACUUCUUGACACUGAGAACUCCCUUCCUCCUUCUGAGGCCAGCAGCUUGCAGGUGGCUGAUGCUGGAGAGCUGAGGGCGAGUGUCACAGACCUUUCCCCGGGGUUUUCUCAAGGUUUUCCCAACUAGAGAACAACUCAAUUGAAAGCCAAAGGGACCAUUCAUAAACUCAUUGAUGUUCAUACAGGUGAAGAUUCUGGUUCCAAGGCGUGACAAGGAUUUAUCCAAACUUAGAUCCUUCUGACUUCCAGACAUUCGUUUCUUAUACUGCAGGACAGUGAGAUGGUGACGUCUGUCUUUGCCAGGAAAAGGAAUGAGG